rnacentral:tRNA from 1 species
GGCGAAAUGGCCGAGUGGUCUAAGGCGUCAGACUCAAGUUUAACAACUUCUGUACGAUGUACAGCUGGCGAGUUUUCUGAUCUCGUUAUCGAGGCGCGGGUUCGAAUCCCGCUUUCGUCA